rnacentral:rRNA from 1 species
AUUGAACGCUGGCGGCAGGCCUAACACAUGCAAGUCGAACGGUAACAGGGAUCAGCUUGCUGAUUCGCUGACGAGUGGCGGACGGGUGAGUAAUGUCUGGGAAACUGCCUGAUGGAGGGGGAUAACUACUGGAAACGGUAGCUAAUACCGCAUAACGUCGCAAGACCAAAGAGGGGGACCUUCGGGCCUCUUUCCAUCGGAUGUGCCCAGAUGGGAUUAGCUAGUAGGUGGGGUAACGGCUCACCUAGGCGACGAUCCCUAGCUGGUCUGAGAGGAUGACCAGCCACACUGGAACUGAGACACGGUCCAGACUCCUACGGGAGGCAGCAGUGGGGAAUAUUGCACAAUGGGCGCAAGCCUGAUGCAGCCAUGCCGCGUGUAUGAAGAAGGCCUUCGGGUUGUAAAGUACUUUCAGCGGGGAGGAAGGGAGUAAAGUUAAUACCUUUGCUCAUUGACGUUACCCGCAGAAGAAGCACCGGCUAACUCCGUG